rnacentral:lncRNA from 1 species
CUUUUUAUUAUAAAAGAUUUGAGGUUUCCAGUUGAAAAUUCCAGUGAUACAAGAAGAUGGCAAUUUUUUUUAAUAUGUGAAAAUCAGAUCAAAUGUAACAUCUGCUCUUUGGAAAAAAUAUUUUCCAUUGAUUCACCGGUUCCUAAUGACAGCAUUUCUUAUCUUACCAAUGUGACAUGAAGAGGGAGCUGUAGCACUUCUGAGACCCAGUUCUGCAUGAACCAGCUUAUCCACGCUUCCCGAUCUCUUGUCUUUUCCCUUUUCUCUCUCUCUCUCUCUCACGAGCCCCUAUCUCGCUCUGUCCCUUAUUCACUCACUCUUCUAUCUUUUGCCACUGUGCCAGAUAAAUUUAAAUGUAUCUGUUCUGUAUCUGUUCAAGUGGAGAUAAUCCAUGCAAAUCAGAAGCAUUGGCUCUCAAUGCUUGAUUCACAAAGAGGACUCAGCUUCAGGAGGUCACUCGUUCACAGCUGCUCCUCCCAUUAUAUUUUUUUUCCCUUAUUGCAGAACUGCUGCAUAUACACAGUGACUGAAAGGACUCAAUUUACUGCAACUGCUGCCUGGCUUUUACUUACAACUUUCUUUAAAGGAACUUGCCUUCCAUCUGUCUUUACAAGUUUUUAA